UAAAGUAAGACUGGAAUAUAUUGCCUUAAAUGUUUGGAAUAUUCGGGAGGGUAUGAAAAUUCAAUACAAAAUUGAACAACUUGAGCACAACACCGAUCUCUCUCUCUCUCUCUUUCUGUGGACUCUACAGAUUGACUGAUUUCCUCCCCCAACUCACGCUCAGCAUCUCCCACUUUGCACCUUUUGAAGUCUCAACUCCGGCUCACAAUCUCUGCACUUUUCUCCGACCGCCUCCUGCCUUUCAAUUGUUCGUCGGUUUCAUCGACAGUGCCAAUUGCAGGGCAUUCUGAAAUGGACCUGAUUCUGGAGGAAAAGGAUGCAGCUGAUUGGGUUUACCGAGGUGAAGGAGCUGCGAACAUCGUCCUCGCUUACACUGGAACCACUCCAACACUCGUCGGAAAAGUUUUGCGGAUACAAAAGGCUCCUGAAAAUGAAACACACUGCUCCAAUGGUUCCUUGAGCUUUUCCAAGCACGAACUUCUCUUGUGGAAAGAUUUUGAAGAACUCGUACAGUCCCCAACAAAAGAAAUUGCGGCCCAACAAUAUGCACAACAUGUGAUUAGCCCGUUAUUAGGUUCAAAACAUGUAGAUGCUGGGAUUCGGGUCCUUGUAUCUAGGGAAUUUCUUGAGGAAAUUGAGAGAAAUAUUAAGAGUCAUCGUCCUGAUUGGCGAAUCGAUGCUGCCAUGGUUGAUACACUUAAACAAUCUGCACUCCUAAUUUCUGACCAUUCCCUUUUUCCUCAUGGUAUCUUCAAAGGCAAUGUCAGCAUAUCUGUAGAGAUAAAGCCCAAAUGUGGAUUUCUACCAUUCUCCAAAUACAUUGCCAGGCAGAAUGCAAUCAAGAGGAGCACUACUCGUUUUAAAAUGCACCAAGUCCUGAAGUUCCGUCAACAACAGAUACCAAAUCUAAGUAAAUAUGAUCCGUUGGAUCUGUUCUCUGGAUCCAAGGAAAGAAUACAUGAAGCUUUGAAAGCUUUGUGCAACAACCCGCAGAACAAUUUCCGUGUGUUCCUGGAUGGUUCUCUCAUUUUGGGUGGGUUCGGUGGUGUUGCAGACAAUUCUACUUCCGCAACUGCUGAAGCACUUGAAGGUGUACUUAAAUAUGUCAUCGAGGCAGAUGAUGGUUUACGAAUGACAAGUUUUCUUGAGCUUCUCACCGAGACAGUUUUUAAAUCUGGAGUAUUGGACCGUCUUCUUGAUGUUCAGAAGCUUGAUAAUUAUGAUGUAGAAGGAGCAAUUCAUGCAUAUUAUAAUUUUAUAUCUCAACCUUGUUCGGUAUGUGGAGGGUUGGGUGAAGACGAGGUGUCACCCAGAGCUACCUUUUUGCAUGCCCUCCCUCCCAACGAGAGCUUGGAGAUUGUGAAAAAUUUUUUGAUAGCUACAACUGCUAAAGAUUGCAGUUUGAUGUUUUGUUUCAGACGAAGAGAAGAUGGUGGUUCAGAUUCUUCAUAUGACAUGGUUUACCUAGAGUCAACUAACCAAGUGUUUGAUUAUAAGGUGCAUUUCAUUGACCUGGAUUUGAAGCCUUUGGAGAAGAUGGAGCACUACUAUGAACUAGAUAAGAAGAUUGUGAGCGCCUACACCGAGGCCCUGCAAAAUGGACAGGGAACAGAGAACGAUCAUACUGUCAAAUUGUAUGAAAGUACACAAUGAUGGAGGACAUUACUGUCUAGCUUAGGGAUUACAGUUGUUGAUGACUCUGUGAUGGUCACAGAACUGUCCUCAAGCCAAUAUCAGCACGAGAGUGAAGCAUCCAUUCCACUGACAAAACCUUGCGAGUUCGUCUUACCUUUAUCUUCUGAAAAACCAGAAAACCGUCGUGUCAGUGGAACUGCUGUGUUCAAAGUGCAGCCUCAAGGUUAUGAAGUUGGUGGCUGCCAUUGAAGGCAUUACUUCCAUUGUUCUUGACCCAUCAAAGAGCACUGUGACAGUGAUUGGGGAAGCUGAUCCGGCAAAGAUCAUAAUGAAGGUGAGGAAGUUCAGUAAGUCUGCACGCUUUGUGAGCAUCGGGCCUCCCAAAGAAGACAAGAAAGAUGAAAAGAAGGAUGUGACGCCCAAGACUUGUCGGAGAUGCGAUGUCUGGUAUGUAGUUGCAGAAGAUGGCUACCACAAUUACUGCUCCAUAAUGUAAGUAGGUGCCAAUUUCAUCAUCGUUCGGGCCAAUAAGAGCAACGCUUUGUUGCGGAAAGCAUGGCCGGAAUUGUGUUUACUGCUUGCGUGUCACCUGGGUCUUUGCUUCAUCAGUGGAAAUGACAUAACCUGAAGACUACCAAGUAUCUAUC